UGGUGGAGUGAUUUGUCUGGUUAAUUCCGAUAACGAACGAGACCUCAGCCUGCUAAAUAGUUACGCGAUUCUCGAAUCGCGGGCAUACUUCUUAGAGGGACUAUCGGUGACUAACCGAUGGAAGUUUGAGGCAAUAACA
rnacentral:rRNA from 1 species